rnacentral:rRNA from 1 species
AUGUGGCGAGUCUUGAUCUUGGUGGCACAAAACUACAUUUCAGUAUCCAACUAUUGCAUCAGGAAGUUGCAUGAGAUGAUUUUCCUUUCAAAUGCAUGCUACGUUUGUAGCUCUCAAAUUUUCUCCUUUGUGGAUGCGUUUGUAAGCAGUCCUUUCUCACCUUUGUUGUCACUUUUUUUGUUGAACUUAAGGAGGAUGCUUGGGAUAAAAUGCCUUAUUUAUUUUGCAAUGCUUGAACUAAUUUGUUUUAGUAGUACAAUUUUUAUUUUUGUAUGUUGUAUGGCUUGCCGACCUGCUCUCUCUCUCUGA